UACCUUUCUUUAAUAUGCAUGAUGAGAAAGGACCUGGAGCCAUUCACUUUUAAUUACACCCUUUUCAGGCAAACAGUCUGGUGCAAUUAGAGAGCUUCCCACAAGCAGAAGAAAACAGGUGAGUGUCCCAGGGGCAUCUCCUCCUCUUCCAGUGCUGUGGUGUUCUAAGACUGGGGACUUCCAUGCCACCUCUCUGCUGUGCUGCUAGGGAACCGUUGUCCAUGGAGCUCAGUGACUCCCUGCAGAUUCCAGUGCAGCCAUUGACUUGGAGGGGUGGGCAGAUAACAUCUGACCAGUGGAUGGAGAGGAGGCCAUCCCAUAAAUAAAGGAUGAAGUCCCCACUGCAGGAGGGGGAGAAUUGGUGCAGCACAGGAGACUUAACACCUUCCUGCCUGCCUCCAGCCUUCUGGUUCAUCUUGCUGAGAGAUGGGAGCCUCCAGGAGCCCCAGAUGUGGAGCGAGCUCCAAGGAUCGAGGGUGAAGCCACUGUCCAUUGAAGCAGGAAUCCUUGAACUUAAGUAUAUCUUGCAAAAAAAACACCUUGAAUUUGAAUGGCCACAUCAAUCCAUUUAGUCCAAGAAAUAAAACCAUUGGAGAGGUUUAGCUGGAGCUGUA